ACGUAUGGGGCAAGCGUUGUUCGGAAUUAUUGGGCGUAAAGGGCGUCUAGGCGGGGGAUUAAGUUCGAUGUGAAAGCUAUGGGCUCAACCCAUAAACUGCAUCUAAGAAAGGUUCUCUUGAGUCCAGGAAAGGAGAGCGGAUUUCCAGGUCUAGCGGUGAAAUGCGUAGAUAUCUGGAAGAACCCCCGUGGCGAAGGUGGUUCUCUGGCCUAGGAUGGACUCUGAAGCGCGAAAGCGUGGGGAGCGAACAG
rnacentral:rRNA from 1 species